CAAGGAGGAAGAGGAGGACGAGGAUGUGAAGUACAGUGCUGUCAACUUUAAGAGUUCCAGUGCUACUACAGAAUCAGGAAAUCAAAAGGCUGUGGAGGAUUUAUCUGAACUGUACAGCACAGUCAACAAACACCCAAGACUUUGAACACAACACAGAUCUGUGGUCUCUUUAAAGGGCAGGGUUGGUAAUGUUGAAAAACUAGCAA